AUCUCUGUUUGCCUCGAAAAAGCGAGAAACUUGCCUUCCAUAUUGAUAGUGACUAGUGACUGCCGAAACCUGUGUAUAUGACUGCAUUCAUGAGUGUACAUUAUACUGAAGUUUGCAGAGUAUAAUUGCAUACUCGUCGUUAGUCGCGUGUAAGUUUACGUGUCCUAUAAGCCACGUCAAAAUAUUUGAUACAAUGGUGGAAAUCGAGUCUAUGACAAGAUAUGUCUCUCCCAUAAAUCCUGCAAUUUUUCCAUUACUGGCAGUGGUGUUACUAGGAAUUGGAAUAUUCUUUACAGCAUGGUUCUUUGUUUAUGAAGUUACUAGCACAAAAUUUACAAGGGACAUGUUUAAAGAAUUAUUAAUCUCUUUAGUAGCAGCAAUAUUUUCUGGUUUUGGUAUAUUAUUUUUACUCCUUUGGGUUGGAAUUUAUGUAUAGAUUGAUUUGAUUAAUGAGAAAAACUAAUUUUAGGAUUAUGUGUAAUAGCAUUUAAGAAAGUAUAUAAUAAUCUCACAUCAUUAAGAAUAAAAACAAUGUAUUUUUACUAAA